rnacentral:rRNA from 1 species
AACUGAGACCCGGUCCAGAUUCCUACGGGAGGCAGCAGUGGGGAAUAUUGCACAAUGGGCGCAAGCCUGAUGCAGCCAUGCCGCGUGUAUGAAGAAGGCCUUCGGGUUGUAAAGUACUUUCAGUCGUGAGGAAGGUGGUAGCGUUAAUAUCGUUAUCAUUUGACGUUAGCGACAGAAGAAGCACCGGCUAACUCCGUGCCAGCAGCCGCGGUAAUACGGAGGGUGCGAGCGUUAAUCGGAAUUACUGGGCGUAAAGCGCAUGCAGGUGGUUUGUUAAGUCAGAUGUGAAAGCCCGGGGCUCAACCUCGGAAUAGCAUUUGAAACUGGCAGACUAGAGUACUGUAGAGGGGGGUAGAAUUUCAGGUGUAGCGGUGAAAUGCGUAGAGAUCUGAAGGAAUACCGGUGGCGAAGGCGGCCCCCUGGACAGAUACUGACACUCAGAUGCGAAAGCGUGGGGAGCAAACAGGAUUAGAUACCCUGGUAGUCCACGCCGUAAACGAUGUCUACUUGGAGGUUGUGGCCUUGAGCCGUGGCUUUCGGAGCUAACGCGUUAAGUAGACCGCCUGGGGAGUACGGUCGCAAGAUUAAAACUCAAAUGAAUUGACGGGGGCCCGCACAAGCGGUGGAGCAUGUGGUUUAAUUCGAUGCAACGCGAAGAACCUUACCUACUCUUGACAUCCAGAGAACUUUCCAGAGAUGGAUUGGUGCCUUCGGGAACUCUGAGACAGGUGCUGCAUGGCUGUCGUCAGCUCGUGUUGUGAAAUGUUGGGUUAAGUCCCGCAACGAGCGCAACCCUUAUCCUUGUUUGCCAGCGAGUAAUGUCGGGAACUCCAGGGAGACUGCCGGUGAUAAACCGGAGGAAGGUGGGGACGACGUCAAGUCAUCAUGGCCCUUACGAGUAGGGCUACACACGUGCUACAAUGGCGCAUACAGAGGGCGGCCAACUUGCGAGAGUGAGCGAAUCCCAAAAAGUGCGUCGUAGUCCGGAUUGGAGUCUGCAACUCGACUCCAUGAAGUCGGAAUCGCUAGUAAUCGUGGAUCAGAAUGCCACGGUGAAUACGUUCCCGGGCCUUGUACACACCGCCCGUCACACCAUGGGAGUGGGCUGCAAAAGAAGUAGGUAGUUUAACCUUCGGGGGGACGCUUACCA